CCAAAGAAGACUUCUAUAUCUUUAGAGUGGGUAAACACCGUCUUUUGUAGGUACAAAAGAGGCUAUAUAUGAGCUCACAGGUGUUUAAAAUGAGAAAGUACACUUCGUGGGGUGAGUGCUGAGCAAAUUGGGCAGGGCUUCCUCGUCGUUUUCUCUUGCAAAAUGGGCAGCCUAAGGCCUCUAUUUAAAGACGAUUUAGCCGCAGGUGUACCUGCGGAUGAGCCUUAGGUGUACCUGCGGCUGAGCUGCAGGUUUACCAUAGGCAACUCGGGUGGGCCCGGGUUUCUCGGGUCGGGUCGUCUCAUAGUACGUGCACUCGGGCACUGUAAUGUCUACUCGAACUUUCAGAAGUACAAUCUGGGCAUCCGUUUGAGGUAUACAGGACCUAUUUCGGACUGCCGUUGUCGAGAGUUGUACAAUGACAUGGGAUUAGAGUUUGUACGAAGUUAUUGAAGAUGGGACGAUGCCCUCCGGUCUUCAAGCUUCAAAUUCUAUCCGUUACCCCGCACAAUAGUCACUCGGGAUUGGUUAGUCUUGUGGGACAUCAUUGCAUAGAGAUGUUGAGACGACGUGGUGUGGCAUCACGUUGGCUAGAUGACGAUGUUUCCCAUAACCGGUGUUAUCGCCGGAUUGGGCUGAUAAAACAGACGUUGCUCAGAGCUUCGCUAAGAUUGGACUGUUGCAUUUGUUGAAGGUCUUCAUUGUCAUCUUUGAGGUGUAUUUGUCCUCCCGAAAUUAUCACUGGGUUGAUACAGUGUAUCUCGUUGUGAGCGCUGAGAUUGAAGCUGGUCGCAUUUGAAACAAGCAUUUCUGGGGUUAUCGUCGAAACUGCAUUCCUUGGGGUUAUCACCAAGGUUGGUGGCUAUUCCCAUGGUUGGGACUGAGACUGGAUACCUCGGCGUUAUCUCGGAGAUUAAUCGGUCUUCUCCGGUGUGUGUUCCGGUGUUGGAUCUACAUGCCUCGGGGUUAUAUCUGAGGUUGGAUUUGUUACUCCUAGAGUGAUCUGGGGUUGAUGCUGAACUUCCGGUAGUAUCCGGUAU
rnacentral:lncRNA from 1 species